rnacentral:rRNA from 1 species
UAAGGAAUAUUGGUCAAUGGGCGGAAGCCUGAACCAGCCAUGCCGCGUGCAGGAAGACGGCCCUACGGGUUGUAAACUGCUUUUGUACCAGAAUAAACCUUAGUAUGUAUACUAAGCUGAAUGUAUGGUAAGAAUAAGGAUCGGCUAACUCCGUGCCAGCAGCCGCGGUAAUACGGAGGAUCCAAGCGUUAUCCGGAUUUAUUGGGUUUAAAGGGUGCGUAGGCGGCCUGUUAAGUCAGGGGUGAAAGACGGUAGCUCAACUAUCGCAGUGCCCUUGAUACUGAUGGGCUUGAAUGUACUAGAGGUAGGCGGAAUGUGACAAGUAGCGGUGAAAUGCAUAGAUAUGUCACAGAACACCAAUUGCGAAGGCAGCUUACUAUGGUAUGAUUGACGCUGAGGCACGAAAGCGUGGGGAUCAAACA